rnacentral:rRNA from 1 species
UACAUGGGGUGCAAACGUUGCUCGGAAUUAUUGGGCGUAAAGCGCGCGUAGGCGGUUACUCAAGUCGGAUGUGAAAGCCCUCGGCUUAACUGAGGAAGUGCACCCGAAACUGAGUAGCUAGAGUACUAAAGAGGGUCGCGGAAUUCCCGGUGUAGAGGUGAAAUUCGUAGAUAUCGGGAGGAACACCGGUGGCGAAGGCGGCGACCUGGGGUAGAUACUGACGCUGAGGCGCGAAAAGCGUGGGGAGCAAACAGG